GUGGCUUUUGUGUUCCCGCAGGGUCGCUGCAAGGAGAUGCCUGUCUCUGAACUUGAGCUGCCUAAAAGUUAAGCAGGUAGAAGUCUUAGCUGAAGAUCUGACUGGGGGAGGAAGAAGAUACAGUAGUAAGAGGAGUAAGUCCAAGAAGGAUGCUUUCAGGUUUUCUUUCUUCAAGAAAACUCCAGACUACACCACUGUUUUUUGAAGUAGUUUUGGUUUUCAAAAUACUGGUUUAAGGGCUGCCACGACUCUAACACUGUAUUCUAUUACACCUUGAAUUUUUAAUUGCUCCUUUCUUCUAAAGUAGCCCUUAGAUCAGCAGGCUGCAAGGGUACCUGGUCUCUCAGCCGAGGGAUUCUGUCAACCUAUCUGUGUUUGGGUUUCUUCUAUGGGAAGGUAAAACCACUGCUUCUCCUGAGAAGCAACUCAUCAAAUCUGAAACUUCCUAUUCUUUCAAACUGACGUAAACACUUAAAUAGACAGCACACGUUUUAAAAAGGCUAAAUUUCAAGUUUAUAGUCUCGUAUUUGACACUGUUGACCUAAUCUUUUAAGCUAUGUAAUUAAUUGUCUUAGCAGAUUGCUCUUAAAAUGGCUAGGAAGCUGGUGGCAGUGACACCUGACAUGCUGCACUAAGGUCAUAUUAGCAUCUUCUACUAGUUUUCUGCCAUUUAAAUGAGUGUUCUGCUUGCUGUUUUUUCUGCUGUUUAGAGUAAAUAUGUCUAUCUGGAAAUAUGAAUAUAUGUAAAAGCUGGACAUGCAUA